rnacentral:rRNA from 1 species
UACGUAGGGUGCGAGCGUUGUCCGGAAUUAUUGGGCGUAAAGAGCUUGUAGGCGGUUUGCCGCGUCCGCUGUGAAAAUCCGAGGCUCAACCUCGGACUUGCAGUGGGUACGGGCAGACUAGAGUGUGGUAGGGGAGACUGGAAUUCCUGGUGUAGCGGUGGAAUGCGCAGAUAUCAGGAGGAACACCGAUGGCGAAGGCAGGUCUCUGGGCCGCAACUGACGCUGAGGAGCGAAAGCAUGGGGAGCGAACAGG